ACUCCACUCCACUCCACUCCACUCUUCUUGGAAAGAAUGUAGCAGAGCAGAGAUCUAUCAGAGACACUGUGUGUCAGAAAUGUAUCAGAGAGACCUCCUUGGGAAGAGACCAGAUGACACCAUUCACCUAGAAAGGGCCUUGGAGGUUUUCCACAGCAUCCUUCUUCACCCGGAAGAUGCUAUAUGAGGUGACCUCUAAGGUGAUAGUGCUUGUAAGGAAAUCUCCACUCAGAGGUCAAAUCCUAAGCACCUUGCUGCAGGGGCUGCCAGCCCAGCAUCCCUCUGCAGGUGGCUCACAGAGUUCUUCUUCCUGCAGCUCUGGGGCUGCAGUGAGGACUGGAGCGCAGCAAAGCUGUUCCCAGCUCUGCAGGAUGUGAGCCCUGUCCUUGCGUCUCCAGCGUUUGUGGCUGAGGCUGGGUGCUAGGUAGAGGACAAAAGCACUCCCGGCACCCCUCCUCCUGUGUGCGGGGUGAUGGGGUGCCGGGUGCCAGGUUCCUAACCACCCCCCCCUCCCCCGGGGGUUGGGCCCCCACCCUGCAGCUUUGUUCUGGUCUUGCAGCACUGAAGACUCUUGCCCACUGCUCUCCAGGAGGACGGAGCGGCUGCAAUGGGAACAGAGAGGUAUGGGGAGCAGUGGUGCAGGGCUGUUGGUGCAGCAGCACUUCCUUCCUAACAGGACUUGGGGUCCUGGUGCUGCUUCCUGCUGUGGGGCACCUCCCUGCUCCCGUGGGGGUAGGGGGUGCCUGGGGACACGGCAUCCUGGGGGCAGCUGCACCUUGCCUGCCCUCCUCCACCGGCAGGGAAGGUGCAGUGAUGCAGCUGGCUUCUGCUGGAGGUUGUGAGCAAGAAAUGCCAGAAGCUGCCCAACAGCGUGAAGCUCUCUGUUCUGGUGGGGUGCAACACCCAGAGCCCAAUCCCCUCCAGCCUGCUUCCCGGGGUGCAAAGAGGAGCGGUACAUCUCUGGUGAACAGGACUUUUUAUUCUGCAGGUGUUCCUGCACAUAUGGCGGCAGCCUGGUGCUCACUUGAUCUUCAUCCACAUCUUCUUGCAGGAGAAGCCGCUGGGAGGACGAAGGCAACAACGGACGUUAAAGAAGAGCUUCCUGCAGAGGAAAAAAGAAAGGAGGUCCACUGUCUCCUGCAUAGCUGACGUGGCCUUGGUGCAAUGUAGGGUCUGUCUCUGCUCUCGUCUUCAUGCCCAUCUUCUGUCUGACGGCCACGUGCAGGUAUCCGAGGCUGAGCUUCUGGCUGGCACUGCGCUUUGUCUCAAGGAUCUCCUCUUUCACAAGCUCCCUCGGUUCCAUUUUCUCAUUUCUAGGUUAAAAGAAGUAUAAGCACAAGUUAUUUGCUAGCAACUUCUGUCUGCUGCGGUUCUGCUUGUUUCUUUCAGCCCGCCCCUCCCGUAUUGGUUUUCUUUCAGCUGUCAGUUCCUACUUUGCCAAUACUGACCAAAUUAUCCUGUUAGCACAUUUCUUUUAUUUUUGCCAUGGCUGAGAAGGGGUGUGAGCUGCACAGAAAUGAAAAGAUUAAUAUAACUGGGGGCAUGCAGUCCUACGGCUCUGGAGUGAGCAGCUCCAUGUUUGUGCAGCAUGUGGGAAAGCUGCAGUCUGGACGUCCUGAACGUGAACGCUGCAGCUCAGCUCAGUGUGUGUCAGCCUCUGUCUGCAAGCAAACCCUCCCCGGCCAAAGGCCGAAGGCCAAAGGCCAAAUCCCAAAUCCCAAAUCCCAAAUCCCAAAUCCCCGCCUCCAUUGCUAACAUCAGAGCACAGCAAGCCGUACGUGUGCAGAAGCAUCCCAGAUUCCUAUGGCUCUGUAGCGGUGCGCUAAAGAGGGCCUCGGUCCUACAGCCUCACGGCAGGAACUUGGCAAACAAGGAGCUUCUCACGGGACUGCUCACUUGCAUCCACUGCCAUCGCAUCCACAGCCCGCAGCCCGCAGCCCGCAGCCGUCGGGUGAAGCCCUCAAGAGUACAACGGAGGUCGAGUGCUGAAAGCACGGGAGAGUUCCCGCAGCAACUGCUGCUAACAGCAGACGCUCCCAGCAACUCCAAGGAAGCCCUGAGAGCCCCGAGCCGUGCCCCAGGACCGCUUCCUCUCUCGAUUCACCGCCACCGCCACGGGAAAAGCAGACGGGAAAAGGGCACCGACGAAAGCUGCCGAUCGCG
ensembl:lncRNA